rnacentral:rRNA from 1 species
UACAGGGGGUGCAAACGUUGCUCGGAAUCAUUGGGCGUAAAGAGCUCGUAGGCGGUUCAGUCAGUCGGGUGUGAAAUCUCCGGGCUCAACUCGGAGGGGCCACCCGAUACUGCUGUGACUUGAGUCCGGUAGGGGAGUGGGGAAUUCCUGGUGUAGCGGUGAAAUGCGCGGAUAUCAGGAGGAACACCGGUGGCGAAGGCGCCACUCUGGGCCGGUACUGACGCUGAGGAGCGAAAGCGUGGGGAGCAAACAGG